ACUUUGGGCUCCUCAUGCCUCUGAAUCAACGGGCAAAGAAGAGAGUUAUAGAUCCUAACCACCCAGGAGAAAUUCGGUGGCCACUACACAAACAGAAUGUAUUAAUAGUAAUUAAAUUUAUAUCAUAGUCUUGAAAUUACAAGAUAUCCAACUUGAAGCAUGCAUUGGGAGAAGAAUAAAUAUCAUCCAAAGACAAAAAAACAACAACACGACGUUGUGUUCUACUAAAAGGAAAAAAGCCUAUUUUCAGAUGUACUUAGAAGAGAUACACCAUGUUAGGUGGAAGUUUGACUUUGUCAUGAUCUUUUGUGUAGUCUAAGUAUGAUUUAAGAUGUUUAUGAGUGCCAAAUUGGUAAGGAGUGGAUUGUGCUGGCUCUGCAAACUAUGUCAGCUUGGCUGUACUGGGCUACAUUUCCCAGAGUACCCUUCCCUGUAUAUCUCCACUUAGGGUGGGCCAAGAGAGAUUCUUGCAGGCGAUUUAGUGGGUGGAAGUAAAGCAACAACUAUUUUAUAUCUUGCACAUAUUUUUGUCAGUCUGGUUAAAUUAUUGAUGUGAGGCAUGAGGUGGACCUACAACUAGUGCACCUUCCCUUUGAUAUUUCUUCAGCUUUUCUGACUCUGCGGCCAGGUGUUUGUAUUUAACUCCACGGUGAGGAGACUCAUCUUCUGACGGACCUAACCUAUACCAUCAAGGUCAGAGGCAACAAGAAAUGGCAUGCAUUUCAGUUUAUUGUUCUGUGGCUCCAGCUUGUAUAUUUUAACUCUAGAUUUUUUUUUACUUUCCCCACUUUACAAUCAUCUUCCCUUUCCAACUACCUUCCUUGUGGACUUCAAGCUCCAGCACCACAAGCAAAGACAAAAACCUUGCGGAAACUAUUUAACUAACUCCCACAAUUGCAUAAGGAUCUAAAUGAAAAUAUUUCUGCAGUGAACCAGUUCUAUUGUUUUAAAUAUCACCCUUAUUAAAGAGAGCUUUGACAC
rnacentral:lncRNA from 1 species